rnacentral:lncRNA from 1 species
GCAACAUGGGGUUCAUUAUCAUUUUCAUUUCCUCUUUAGCUGUUCUGUGGGCGGCUGUCAUUGCAAACAGGGGGAGCAACAAAAGGACCAGAAAUGACGGUCCGUCCGUUUCACUGCGCCUCCGUCCCUUCGUGGACAUCAACGGCCGCUGUCUAUGCGUCAAUAAAUUCGCUCACGUAAACUUGGACGCAUGACGCACCUUCUGUCAAGGCUUUCCGGCAGACCACGUCACGGCAGACGAAGCCAACUUGCUAGCAGACAUCGUCACGUCAACACGGAUGAUUGAACUGAACGCAGCUACUGGAUCGGAGGGACCGACCGCAUGCGGGAAGGAUCGAGUUCCCGUGGACGGACGACACCCGCGGUCGCAUGGGCACUCCCUGCUGGGGCGUCCUCAAGGGCAAGCAACAGCUAGGGGGAGAAACCAGCAAGAACAAGCAUCGAAGUGCAUCGAACAGCAAGAACUGCAUCGGCCUCCACAAGGACAUUUUUUUCUUCGUCAGUGAUUUCAAGUGCGAAGAUGAAAUUUCGGUAAUACGCGAGUAUGUAGUGCAAUAAUUUGCGCGUGAGAUCUGGAAUCGUACUUUCUUUCUUGUAGCACGUCUCAAGUCAGGUACCCAAUGUCAUACUUCUCCAAUAAACGAGAAAGUCCUUCAA